GAUGAACGCUGGCGGCGUGCCUAAUACAUGCAAGUCGAGCGAACAGAUAAGGAGCUUGCUCCUUUGACGUUAGCGGCGGACGGGUGAGUAACACGUGGAUAACCUACCUAUAAGACUGGGAUAACUUCGGGAAACCGGAACUAAUACCGGAUAACAUAUUGAACCGCAUGGUUCAAUAGUGAAAGGCGGCUUUGCUGUCACUUAUAGAUGGAUCCGCGCCGUAUUAGCUAGUUGGUAAGGUAACGGCUUACCAAGGCAACGAUACGUAGCCGACCUGAGAGGGUGAUCGGCCACACUGGAACUGAGACACGGUCCAGACUCCUACGGGAGGCAGCAGUAGGGAAUCUUCCGCAAAGGGCGAAAGCCUGACGGAGCAACGCCGCGUGAGUGAUGAAGGUCUUCGGAUCGUAAAACUCUGUUAUCAGGGAAGAACAAAUGUGUAAGUAACUGUGCACAUCUUGACGGUACCUGAUCAGAAAGCCACGGCUAACUACGUG
rnacentral:rRNA from 1 species